rnacentral:lncRNA from 1 species
GGAGCUAGGCAAACCUUUGAUCAUUGUUAUUUCUGUUUAUAGGGUAUUUAGGCAAUUUAUUCUAAAAAAGUUUCAAGUAAAUUACACUUUUUGUUUUAAAAACAAUAUUUUGAAAUAAAAAAACCAAAUUCCUUUAAAAUUACGGUGUGAUUUAUUCCAACAUAUACGGAAAACCGAACCUCUUUUCUUUCUCUCGCUUCGUCGCGUCGUGCCUGUCUGUACGCAUGCAAAAAACCCUGGCUUACGUAAUUCGAUGUUGCCGCUGUGACAUAUUUUUAUUGUUAUUUAAACAGGUUUUGUUAUGGGUUGAUACUACUUUUCUCUCCCAUAAAUUUUUCUAAAUAUACAGAAAAACCCAUAUAAUAAGUCAAAGUAGCCAGAUGUUGAAUGUUUACACAGAACAACAUUUCGAAAAUCCCAAAAAUCUUUAAGUAGGAGUUUUCUACAGGGUUCAACCUUUUAAAUAUUUUAGUUAAGAAAUGGGGCUAACUAUUCUUGACUUACACAUUUUUUCUAAAUAUACAGGAAAGCCUAGAAAAUGAGGUCAAAGUGAGUAAAAAUUGUCAUAAAACUACGUUUCAAAACCACCCAAAAUUCGCACUUAGGAUUCAUAAUUCAAUAUUGAUUUUUUUAUAUGGUUUAGCCAGGGGUUGAAGCUGCUUUUCUCUCCCUACAUAAAUUUUCGUAAAUGUACAGAGAAAAUUAGGUCAAAGUUAGUCAAAAUUGGCAUAAAAGUACAUUACAAACAUCUCCAAAACUUAUACUAAGGACUCAUAAUUCAACAUUGAAUUUUUGAUGUGGUUUAGUCAACAGAUAACAGAUAGCAAUCAAUGAUAACAGAAAACUUUGGAUGAAUUGUUCUAAAGUUGGCUAGAUGGAGUAUUGGAGUUUGUGAAAGGAAGUUGUGAAGGUGCUAGGCAAACUAGCUGUUUAUAGGGUAUUUAGGCUAAAAAGUUUCAUAUAAAUUAUACUUAGGAUGCUUGUAAGGGUUGCGGUUAAUUCUUUCUUUACAUAUAUUUUCCUAAAUAGACAGUCCCGAAAAGUUAUGUAAAAGUGAGUCAAAAUAGACAUAAAAGUACAUUCAAAACACCCCCACUCAAUAUUGAUUUUUUUUAUAUGGUUUAGCCAAAGAUUGAAGCUGCUUUUCUUCUCUCCCUACAUGUAUUUUUCUAAAUAUACAGAGAAACAUAUGUUGAAAAUUUACACAGAACAACAUUUUGAAAAUCCCAAAAAUCUCUAAGUGGGAUCUUUGUAGAGAGUUCAACUUUUUAUAUGUUUUAGCUAAGAAAUGGGGCUGAAUAUUAUUUCCUUACAAAUUUUUGGUAAAUAUACAGGAAAGCCCCAAAAAUUAUGUCAAAAUGGGAGCAAAUUGUCAUAAAAUUACACUUCAAAAACACCCAAGAUUUACACUUAGGACUCAUAAUUCAACAUUAAAUUUUUCAUACAGAUAAAAUAUCAUGUAUAGUUUAGGUGAAGUUACUUCGUCAAGCUCCAAAAUUGAGUAUGUACAAAAUACAAUCAACAUACAGUAAAACUCCUCUAAUUCGAACUUCUUUAUCUCGAAAUAUUCCCUAAUUCGAAUAUUUUAUACUACCAAAAAAGGUAUCAUCAAGUUUAUAUGAUAUUUUAUCUCUAAAGUCGAAUUUCUCUAUCUCGAAUUUUUCUAUAAGUCGAAAUAACGUUUAACGCAUUGCCGAUGGCUAACUCGAAUUUUGCGGGGAAGUACAGACAUUUUUCUAGGAAAAAAUCUGUUUGUUACAUGGAUUUGCUACUGCAUCAUAUUUCUUUUUAUUAGUUCAAACGGAAAAAGGCUCUCAUCGCGACGUGGCGGUUUUGUGGUUACAGUUUUUUGGUGCGUAUGCGAAUUAAGACAAUUUGUUUUUAUUAAAAAUAAUUAUGGCUAAGAGAAAUUUAAAGUGCUUACCAUUAUGUGAGAAAUUGAAAUUAAUUGCUGAAGUGGAAAAAGGUGAAAAGAAAAAAAAGGAUAUUGCCGAACAGUUUGGGAUACCACCCAAUACUCUGUCAACGAUCCUAAAAAACAAGGAUAGACUUUUAGAAAAAAAAGAUGAUUACGCUUCAAACUGUAAGAGGAGAAGGCUUACACCUUGUGUGAAUGAAGAUAUUGAUGAAGCAAUGCUUAAGUGGGUUACUACGGCACGAAAUAAAAAUCUCCUUCUAUCUGGAACACUUAUAAGAGAAAAAGCUAAGGAGUUUGCAACUGCUUUAGGGCGGGACGAUUUUGCAGCUAGCAUAGGAUGGUUAGAUAAGUUUAAGGCCGUCGUCCCACCAAAGAUACACGACAGCGACGCCACAUCUCCGCGAUGUCGCCAGCGUGUAUCUUUCGUGUCGAACCCAUGUUUUAAAAUCAUUUUGUCCCCACCAACGCUGCGCCGAAGACACAUCCAAAAGCGUGUCGCCUUCGUGUUGCCGGGAGACUGGACGUGUCAGUUGCGAAGCAACAUUCAAGCUGUGUGUGUUGGCGUUUUUCUUCAUUUAUCGAAGUUUUAUUUUUUUGUUUAUUAUGGCACAACAAAAUGCUGAACUGGAUUUUAAUGGAUGUCUGUGCAGCUCCUUAGCAGCAACAUAUAUUUUUUUUUUUAAUUUUUCUCAAUAAAAGGAUGCACACACCAUUUUAUUUUUUUUCUAUUCCGCAAAUACCAAUACAUUGCAACCACAUCCUCGUCUUCACUCGAUGACAUUUUGAACUAAACUGAACAACUAAACGUAAAAAACACGAAACGCGUAUCUUUGGUGGGGCCACUGCAUGUCGUCUGAAUGUGUCCAGGUGAAAUCGUGUCGCCGUCGCGUAUCUUUGGUGGGACGACGGCCUAAAACUAGGCAUAACAUCGUUCAAAUGUCUUUAUGUGGUGAAAGUGCUUCUGCAGAUUUGGCGUCUUGUGAAGAAUGGCAAAAGAAUGUAUUGCCCACUCUGAUCGGUCAAUAUGAUAAGGAUGACAUUUUUAAUGCUGAUGAAACAGGAGUUUUCUUUAAAUGUUUACCCAACAAAACACUAGCAUUUAAAGGACAAAAAUGCCAUGGUGGCAAAAACAGCAAGGAACGAAUUACAGUUAUGGUUGGAAGUAAUAUGAGUGGGACUGAAAAGCUUAGGCUGCUAAUCAUUGGUAAGUCAAAGAAUCCACGUUGUUUUAAGGGCAUUAAAUCAUUUGCAGUGGACUAUGAGUUUAAUAAAAAAGCAUGGAUGACAAGUGAGAUUUAUGAAAAAUGGCUAUUAAAGCUUGAUAAGAAAUUUGCAGCCCAAAGAAGAAAAGUUUUACUAUUCGUUGAUAAUUGUCCUGCACAUCCCAAGUCUGUUGAAUCUAAGUUAAAAAAUAUUAAACUUGAAUAUUUUCCGCCUAACCUUACGUCAAUCUUACAAUCCAUGGAUCAAGGAAUUAUAAAAAAUUUGAAGCAACAUUAUAGGAAGCGGAUUGUUAUGAAAGUUUUAGCCCAUAUGGAAGUGGCAACUCCUACAACUGUGACGUUACUUGACGCAAUUUAAGAUCUUAAUAAAACGUGGACUCUGGACGUAAAAGAACAAACCAUUGCUAAUUGCUUUAGAAAAGCAGGAUUUGUUAAAGAUAUAGUUCUACAAGAUGCUGAUAACUGGGACGAGGAUGACCUUGUUCCAUUAUCUGAAUUAAAAACCCUGUGGACCUCAUACAGAAGGGCUAUAAACAUGAGUGAUGUUUCAUUUGAAGACUAUGUGACGAUUGAUGAUAAUGUACAAACAACAGGUUUUCCAACUGAUGAAGAGAUCCUAGAAAGCGUAAUAGAAAAUCUUGUUCCAAAUAAAAAAGACCCUGAAGAAAAUGAAGAUGAUGGCCAAAGCGAAGGUGAGACUGUUCCGACACCUACAAUUGACGAGACGAUUUCUGCUAUUGAAAUGAUAAGAUGUUUUAUUUUAUCCAGAGAAAAUAUUCCAUAUGAAAUACACAAUUCUUUAAAUUUAUUAGAAGAUUUUAUAGAUAAGGAAAAAUGGACCAAUUUCACACAAAAAAAAACUGACUUCUUUAAAAAAAAAUUAUAAACAUAUUGAUAUGCAUACAUAUUAUGUAACACAUACAACAUACAAAAUUUUAGUUUUAUACGAAGUCGAUUUUUCCAUAAGUCGAUUUUUUUAGUCUCUCCCUUGAAGAUUCGAGUUAGAGAAGUUUCACUGUACUACAUAUAAGCAUUAAAAUAAACUGCAAAAUAUAUUACGAUAUUUAGUGAUCGAUUCCCGUAUAUAUUUACGGUCGAUUCGAGUGUUUCCACAGCCCCCGGCCCGUUCAACAAUCAAUAUUUGUCAGAUAAAGAUAGGCAAAUUCGGCGCGGAUAACGUGAAACAGACGAAGAUACGAGAUUCUCUCGAUGCUACUGGGAUUGAAUAUUGAGGACGGGCCGGGAAUACGAAACAGAGUCGCGCGCUCAAAAAUAGGAAAUGCAAUUAUUUUAUACGUUUUAUUAUUGUUAGUUUACAGUAUUUCUUCAAAUAAACGAAUAUAAGCAAAAUAUUAACUUGUAUUGCGUUCUAUUAUUUAUAACGUCAUUUUUUACUAGAUAUUAUACAGGGUAUUGGCCAUUAGAGAAAGGAGGGGUGUGCGUCAGAUUGCAUUUGGUGCCUUCACUUAAAGCAUUUCAAUUGAACUCAAAUUCGGCUUGAUAGGUUCCUAUUUACAUUAAUGUAAAUUUUUUUAGACUGCAAUAACUCUAACAAUCAUUUGUCGAUACAUAGAGUGCUGAAAUCUUUUAAUUUAAGUUUGCAUGUUGACCAACCUACUCGCAUCACUGCUAAUUCAGCAUCACUUUUAGAUUAUGUUUGCUCUACUCUCUGUGAAACGCAGGUUGCAUGUAGAAUUGUAAAUGCCGGGUUGUCUGAUCAUGAGGCCGUAUUAUGUUCCUUUCUUCUAAGUGAAAAAAAGUGUACCUCAAGAAAAAAAAAAGUGCGGAAGGUUGUUCACUAGAAAAAAUUUCUGUAAGUUUAAAGAAUGUUGUAAUUCAAUAGACUGGAAUGGUAUCAUACUUAACAACGGUGAUCCUUUUGAUAGUUUCCAUUCAACUUUAGUGGAUGUUUUUGAGUCAACUUUCCCCAUGGUGACAAUUAGGGAAAAAAGGAGAAGACCCUGGUAUAGCAGGGGUCUAUUAGUUUCUGGUAAAAAUCUUCGGUGUUUGCACUCCAUAAGAAAGUUUGCCUUGGACAACUCCAAAUUCAUAUCCUACUUUAAUAGAUAUCGCAAAAUUUACCGUGAUACAGUGAAAUUGGCAAAAAACUUAUACUACUCAAGUAAAAUAAACCAAUCAAGAAAUAAGUCUAGAGAGUCUUGGAAAAUUGUUAAUGACUUACGUGGCGAACAUGGGAACCCUUCUGUUUCUAAUAGCACGGUGUCGGCCGAAACACUCAAUAAUUUUUUCCAGGGUGUUGCUUUGGGUCUAUCAAUAUUAUUGCCUCAGUCUGUUGGAGAUCCGCGCUCAUACUUACACAACAUUAAGGUGCCUGAAACAUUUUUCUUUAGACCAACAGAUUCUAGUGAAAUAAUGGAAGCUCUAUCCUCAAUGAAAAAUAAGAACUCCUCUGGAUGGGAUGGGCUGUCACUAAAGGUCCUAACAGCGCUACCGCUACCAACCCUUGAUUCUUUGGCUGAUGUGUUAAAUGUUUCACUUUCAAGUGGGUCCUUUCCACAUUUACUCAAGGAUGCCUUGAUUAUACCAUUAUUUAAGGGUGGAAACUAUGAUGACCCAUCAAAUUUCAGACCCAUAGCCCUGCUUCCCACGCUUGGCAAGCUUGUAGAAAGAUUGGUAAAAACUAGGAUGAUGGAAUUUCUGAAGCGGCAUAAUGUUCUUAACCAUUAGCAAUUUGGAUUCCGGACGAAACUGGGUACAUCUGAUGCUAUUUUCAAUUUUUUGGAGAGUCUGUACAUGGGGUUGAACGCUGGGGAGAGUGCGGCGGCGGUGUUCUGUGACUUAUCUAAGGCGUUUGACUGUGUAAGUCACAGAAUACUGCUACAGAAGCUGGAAACCUACGGAUUCAGAGGAGUUGCUCUCGACUGGUUUCGCUCUUACCUAUCUGGAAGAACACAAAGGGUAUUCUUUGACAAUGAUAUGUCAUCCCGUCUGAAUAUGGACGCUGGUGUACCCCAGGGUUCUGUUCUUGGACCAAUAUUGUUCCUGCUAUAUGUCAAUGAUAUCUCUCAAAUUCCAAUUAGGGGCAAAUUUACUAUCAUACAUACAUUACUUUGGCAUGACACUGACACCAAGAGAUUAAGGAAUAUUGUUGAUGAAGAUUUAAUUCUUGUAAAGUCAUGGUGUGAAUCUAAUAGAUUAACCUUUAAUAUGUCUAAAACUAAUAUUUUAACUUUUAAAUGUAACCUUGGAACUGUCACUUUGCAAAAUGAAACAAUAAGUCCUUCUGAAACAUGCAAAUUUUUGGGCCUGACGAUUGAUAAGCAAUUAAAAUUUGAAAAUCAUAUCUCCUCUUAGGGAAGUUUAUCUUAGGGAAGUUAUCAUCCAACUGUUAUGCUAUUAGAGUAAUAACACAUUCUCUGGGACUUGAUGUGGCCAAAAUUGCCUACCAUGCUCUUAUAGAGUCUUAUCUGAGAUACGGUAUUGUGUUUUGGGGUGUGUGCUCUCAGUAUUUGUUCAGCUCUCUAUUUAUUUUGCAAAAAAGAGCCAUACGCUAUAUGUGUGCAGCUCCCUUUCGUAGCCCCUGUAGGCCAUUAUUUUUAAAACACUCUGUCCUGACAUUGCCAUGCCUUUUUAUUUUAGAGACUGUUUGUCUUAUCCACAAAAAAUAUCGCCAUCAACUUGGCCCCCCCUCCUCGGGUUACAAUCUCCGAACAACCUUCUCUUUACCUCUGUCUAUCCCAAAAAGUGAGCAGAUUAAGUCCUCUUUUGUGUACGGGGGCAGAAGGCUUUUUAACCACCUACCCCUUUAUAUAAGGCUAAUAAAUUGUGAAAAACGUUUUAGGAAAAAUAUAAAGAAACUCUUGCUUGCUAAAGCAUUUUAUUCUGUAGACGAGUUUUUAAAUACAAUUUUUUGACAGUGAAGAGUUUUGCGCAGCGUAAUGUGAAUUCUUAUUACCCUUUCUUUGGGUGUGUUCUAUAUUCUAUGUAUGUAAGAAUUGUUAAAAUUUUUAUAUUUUUGUAAAAGAUUAUGUUGUCAACUAUCUUUAAGAUUUUAUAUAAUGCUUUGUUAACAACAGAUGAUGUUACGUAACAAUAAAGCUAUUUUUGACUUUGACUUUGACUUAUUUUUUUGAAGAAAAUGGGGUUCCGUUUCAGUAACGUUUGAACGUUACGUUAAUAUGGUAAACACCUUCUUUAUCCCCGAGUUAGAAAGAAGACGUAUUGACCGAGACCGUUUGUGGUUUCAGCAAGAUGGAGCCACAGCAUACACCGCCAGGGCAUCCAUGGCUGUUUUUCGUCAUUUGAUUACCAUUUAAUUUCAAGAUUUGGUGACGUUUUAUGGCCUCUUCGGUACCUCAAGUUUAUAAAAAUACUCAUCACCGAUCAUCGUAAAUUAGAUGAAUUAAAGAUGUAAUCUGCCAGGAAAUUAGUGAAAUCAAUAGAGAUUUACUGCAAAAAGUC